AUGGACGAGACUCACUCCCAGUUGCUUCCUCAGCAUGAUGUCAAGGCCACAACGAAGAAUGCAACCUUGAGCAGACUUCACACAGGGCAUCCUGCUCUCAGCUUGCAUGAUGAUGAUGUUGUUUACAUCAUGGCCAAGGUUGACCACAUGGACGACGACUCGUGGAUGCUUGCUGUUGACAUGAGGAACAAGACUCUGAAAGGAGUGGCUGCUCUCACCAGUAGAUUCAUGUACUUGCAAAGUGACCUCUCCAGUCAUCUGGUGCCCACAAGCGAAAACACCGAGGUCUUCAAUCUUCCGCCCAAAGGCAAAAGGUCAUCACGCAGAAAGAAGCGUAACGCUGCUAAAACUGGCAAGCAAGAAGCUGGGAAGACUCUUGCUAACAGCUGUCGUGUGGAUGCUGAUGCGAUUAGGGGGGAGCAGAAACAUUUGCUGCAAGUUGCGGAACAAGAAGAACAGGAGCUGACGAUACUCGAGCCUCGAGUUAUUUCAGUAAGGUAG
rnacentral:rRNA from 1 species